rnacentral:rRNA from 1 species
CCUACGGGUGGCAGCAGUGAGGAAUAUUGGUCAAUGGACGGAAGUCUGAACCAGCCAUGCCGCGUGCAGGAAGAAGGCCCUAUGAGUUGUAAACUGCUUUUAUAAAGGAAUAAAGUGAGGCACGGGUGCCCUUUUGUAUGUACCUUAUGAAUAAGGAUCGGCUAACUCCGUGCCAGCAGCCGCGGUAAUACGGAGGAUCCGAGCGUUAUCCGGAUUUAUUGGGUUUAAAGGGAGCGUAGAUGGGUUGUUAAGUCAGUUGUGAAAGUUUGCGGCUCAACCGUAAAAUUGCAAUUGAUACUGGCAGUCUUGAGUACAGUUGAGGUAGGCGGAAUUCGUGGUGUAGCGGUGAAAUGCUUAGAUAUCACGAAGAACUCCGAUUGCGAAGGCAGCUUACUAAACUGCCACUGACAUUGAUGCUCGAAAGUGUGGGUAUCAAACAGGAUUAGAUACCCUAGUAGUC